rnacentral:rRNA from 1 species
GAGUUUGUCGGUUGGUCGGGCUUCACUGUCCGCACAGGCCUGAUGGAUUCCUACCUUCUGAAUAACCGGCAUGCUAUUAAGUUAGUGCGUUGGGGAAGCAGAGCUAUUACCUUGAAAAAAUUAGAGUGCUUAAAGCAGGCCUACGCUCUGUAUACAUUAGCAUGGAAUAAUAAAAUAGGACGGCAUGGUUCUAUUUUGUUGGUUUCUAGGAUCACCGUA